rnacentral:rRNA from 1 species
AUUGAACGCUGGCGGCAGGCUUAACACAUGCAAGUCGAGCGGUAACAGAGAGAAGCUUGCUUCUCUGCUGACGAGCGGCGGACGGGUGAGUAAUGCCUAGGAAUCUGCCUAGUAGUGGGGAAUAACUUGCCGAAAGGUAAGCUAAUACCGCAUACGUCCUACGGGAGAAAGGAGGGGACCUUCGGGCCUUUCGCUAUUAGAUGAGCCUAGGUCGGAUUAGUUAGUUGGUGAGGUAAUGGCUAACCAAGACCGCGAUCCGUAACUGGUCUGAGAGGAUGAUCAGUCACACUGGAACUGAGACACGGUCCAGACUCCUACGGGAGGCAGCAGUGGGGAAUAUUGGACAAUGGGGGGAACCCUGAUCCAGCCAUGCCGCGUGUGUGAAGAAGGUCUUAGGAUUGUAAAGCACUUUAAGUUGGGAGGAAGAGCAGUUAACUAAUAUUUGACUGUUUUGACGUUACCGACAGAAUAAGCACCGGCUAACUUCGUGCCAGCAGCCGCGGUAA